GCUAAUACCGACACAGGAGCGGUGUAAAUAAGGAGGGUUCAAUCGUGUUCCGUUGUUAUUGGGUUUCAAGGGUCCAUGAGCGGAUCUAUAAGUCAGUGGUGAAAUCUCACAGCUUAACAGUGAGACUGCCGGUGAGUCUGUAGGUCUUAAGUAAAUUUGAAGUGGCUGGAAUAAGUAGUGUAGCGGUGAAAUGCAUAGAUAUUACUUAGAACACCAAUUGCGAAGGCAGGUCACUAAGAUUUAACUGACGCUGAGGGACGAAAGCAUGGGGAGCGAACAGGAUUAGAUACCCGAGUAGUC
rnacentral:rRNA from 1 species